rnacentral:sRNA from 1 species
UCUGGGGUUCUUGAGAAAAAUAGAGACACUCUCCCUGCCGAUGUGGUUGUGGUCCUGAGAACGUCAGAAAACAAGCUUCUUCAGCAGCUCUUCUCAAUCCCUCUGACCAAAACAGCUCCCACUUUCCAGACUAUUGAAGAGAUUAAAAAGCAUGAGGAGUAGAAUAAGGAGGCCCAAGGUCACCAGGAGACAGGGCUCCUCCCAGGUUUCUGCAGCCCCCUUCUGCUUACACCUGGCUGCAUCUGGCUGUGGAGCUGCCUGUGCCUGAGAGGCACACUCUCACUGCAAGGUUCUCAGUGACCUUGUGGUAAAAGGAGGCAGCCACAGUCAAUAUGAAUUCUCUCUGUUCUCUUCUCAUGCUUAUGCAGCCAGCCUUUUGCCUGCAGAUGGGCCACUUCAGACAUGAUGAAAUGUUCUUUGUAAUACUUCCUAUUGAUAGGAAAUCCUCUGAAGAUUUUAGGUGUGAAAAUUUGAAGUAGCAGCAACACUGCUUUCUAACCCUUCGGCUGAGACUUUUCAAACUGAAUGAUCUAGAUAGAAAAACAUUAAAAGGAAGGAUGUUAUAACAUGGUUUCAAGGCAUAUUUUCCUGUUUGGGUAACGUUCCACUUGCAACUAGUAAACUGAGAGAAAAGCUUAAAAGGCUCAGGGGAAGAAAGAAACAGAGUUUCAAAAAGAACUUGAAAAUUCAUUUUUGUCUUUGAAUCAUGAAUUCUGACUUCCAAAUAGUAGUUUGGGGUGUUAAAGAAGUUAUGAACUUGGGAGAAACUAGGAAAAAUAAGAAUAGCACCAGAGGGAACAUUCUCUGAACCUCAAAGUUUGAUUUUUGCUUCAGAACCUA